UCUUCUUCCGACGACGAGUUUGUUAGCUUGGACUCUUCCACUUCUGGCUUAUGUUCUUCUUCCGGCAAGUUUUUCGAUCUUAUUAAAUUUCUGGUUCUUAAUCUUAUUUCAAGAAAUUGAAGCUCAAGAUUGUUUGAUUGAGUGGGAAGAUUUUGCAUAAAUGUAGGAUUGGAUAAAUUUGUAAGUGCUUUUAGGUUCUGAAUUUUGCAAUAGAUCGUUGAUUGAGAAGCUGUUAAAAAUCAUUAGAUGAUGUGGUCUUCAAGUUUUUUUUUGCUUUUACUGAUUAGUGUUUUUGUAGUGUUUUUUCUGCAUUGUUUGCAUCUGUUGUUCUCCAGAGCUGUGAUUGGUUUAUAAAGGUUAUACUUUCUUGAUUCAAAUGUGAGCAGUUAUCAGAUCCAUUUUGUUGAAAAAGAUGCAAAAGGUUGUUCUGUUGUGUGUGUGAGUGAGUUAUUGAUUAUGGUUGUCUAAGUGUCUCUUUUAACUCUGUUUUUAUGUUUAGUGUCUGUUUCAAGUGUGUUUUUAUGUUUAGUGUCUGUUUUAAGUCUAUGUUUUAUGUUUAAGUGUACGCCUAUGUUAAUCAAUGAGUUGUUUCAGUUUAUGAGUUUGAGUUGUUUCAGUUUGGCACUUUCAGUUUUAGUUUAUGAGUUUGAGUUGUUUCACUUUCACUUUCAUUUUCAGUUUCAGUUUAUGUGUUUGAGUUAUGUUGUUUCUUUUUCACUUUCACUUUCAGUUUCACUUUCAGUUUCAGUUUCAGGAAAUGGAUUCUCUUGUGUUGUUGUUGUUUUUACGCAAGAGUGACAAACACUUGGUCAGAUUGAGAUUUAUGGCCAUAGUUUAUUUCUUUACUCUUCUUCUUCAUUAGCAAUGUCAAGGUUAAACAGCUUCACUUCAGUUCUGUUCUAUUUUUGAUCUAGUCUCCAAGAUUACUUGGUUUUUUACUGAUGUAGAACAUGUGAGAAAGAAGAAAAUGAAGAGGAACAAUACAGAAGCAGAAGCUGAUGCUUCUUCCUCAGACACAUCUUCAGGUUAACUUGUUGAAAUAAAAUCAAAAGGUUAACUUCAAUAUGGUUUUAGUUCAGUUUGAUCAAACAUCUAGUUAGGUAACUGUAUGUAUAUAUUUUCUCAACUUUAACUUUAGUUUGGGUUACAUUGGUGUGGUGAGACUAGAGAAAGUGUUUUCUCACGUUUGCUAUACUUAUAUUUAGUUUUGUGUUGAAAAUGCUGAAUCCUUUUGUUGCUAUACUUAAGCUUGUUAAUGUUAUUGGCCAUAGCAUAUAAUUACACUGAUACGGAAUUAAGUUCAGAAUCCGAUUUACUUUCAUGAAAAAUCAUGUUGGUUAUCUACUCUCUCAAUCUAAUCUUGAUUUAAUUCCAGAGUCAUAUAAUUUUCUUUUUUUCAAAUUUUUUUUCUUUUAGAAACCCACUUAAGAAUUCUACCAAUGGACUAUAAAAUUUUCAAAAACUCUAAAAAAUCUCUAAACUACAAAACUAUCCAAAUUUAUUAAUAAAAAAUACAUAAAAACUUUAUUUAGAAACUAAUCACUGGACUUGCUCUAAUUAAUUAGAAAAUCAAUAUUCGUUGUAGACAGAUGUGUCAUGUGUGAUUGCCAUUUGUUUUAGCCAGAUUGAAUAUAAUUUUCUAAAUUUCUAAAGCUAUAGGAGAAAGUAAAUCUAUUGCUACAACUUCAGUUGUAAAUAUAACAAAUAUUUCAUGCAGUUUUGAAAUCAAGUUUCUAUAACAAAUAUAUGUUCUAGACUAAUUUGAGGUAAUCGAUCAUUUGAUAUUUAUUGAUUCAAAAUUUGUAAUUUUUGAAAUUUCUCUUUAAAUAAUUGGUUUUUGAGAUACAUAAGAAAAUUCAUGUUUUGACUUUCUUACCCAAGAUGCCAUGUUUAAAGAUGCACACGUAUACCUCAUAUUAAAAUGCAAAUUGUAACCUAUCGUAUCAUUUGUAUAAUAAAGAUGCUUCUGAUUUUUGUUUUUCUUCGUAAUAACUUAUUGUAUAAUAAGACAAGAACUGUCACGAGCCACUGUUAUUUUCGAUCAACUUUAUAUUUUAUCAAUGGUUUUGCUAGCUAGCAGUUGGUCCCAUCUUGGAACACAAGAAAAACGAGUAAUAUGUCAACAUUAUACUUUUUGGUGGGUUGGGUAAUGUGUCGGUGGGUGCUUUCGUUAUAUAUGAUUGUAUCAGAUUGCUCUAUCUGUCUUACGAGAGACCAAAACGAUGGAGAGCACGAAGAUUGCUCCUUCAUUCGAUCGUGCCAGUGAGCUUAAAGCUUUCGAUGAGACGAAGACUGGUGUGAAAGGACUCGUUGACUCUGGAAUCUCAAAGAUUCCACGCAUUUUCCAUCACUCAUCUGUCGAACUAGCAAACCCUAAACCACUUCCCUCGGACCUGCUACAUCUCAAGACGAUCCCAACGAUCGAUCUCGGAGGACGGGACUUCCAGGACGCGAUUAAGCACAAGAACGCGAUUGAAGGGAUUAAAGAAGCAGCUGCCAAGUGGGGUUUCUUCCAAGUGAUCAACCAUGGAGUUUCGCUCGAGCUUCUUGAGAAGAUGAAAGAUGGAGUUCGUGACUUUCAUGAGCAACCUCCUGAAGUGAGGAAAGAUUUGUACAGCCGCGAUUUCGGCAGAAAGUUUAUCUAUUUAAGUAAUUUCGAUCUCUACACUGCUGCAGCUGCGAAUUGGAGAGACACAUUCUAUUGUUACAUGGCUCCAGAUCCUCCAGAACCACAGGAUCUGCCAGAGAUUUGUAGGUAUGACUCCAUUGCUUUAACUUUAUUUGAUGUGUAAUAUCUGUUGGAAAGUGAUUUAGACCUUAGUCUUUGCUAGUUUAUGCAAACAUUCAAACUUGCGUUUGGAAAAGCCUUUGUGAACACGUAAGCAACUUUCAUAUCUCUUUAUUCGUUCUUGGUGGAUUCUUUCAGGGAUGUUAUGAUGGAAUACUCAAAGCAAGUGAUGAUUUUGGGUGAAUUUCUGUUUGAGCUUUUGUCAGAAGCACUAGGGUUGAACCCUAAUCACCUCAAGGACAUGGAGUGCUUAAAGGGUUUGCGCAUGCUUUGCCACUACUUCCCACCGUGUCCGGAGCCUGACCUAACUUUUGGCACAAGUAAGCACUCCGACGGCUCUUUUCUUACCGUCCUUCUACCAGAUAACAUAGAAGGGCUUCAGGUUUGUCGUGAGGGAUACUGGUUCGAUGUUCCUCAUGUUCCCGGCGCUCUCAUCAUCAACAUCGGAGAUCUUCUGCAGGCAAGUUUGCGCAAUCAAUACAUGUUUGCUAGCUCAGAUUUCACAAGUUUAUUUACAAUGCUAGAUUUGUUUAAGAAAUCUUCCUCUUGGUUCAAAGUUUUUUUUUUUUUUUAAUUGCGUUGGCUGCAGCUUAUAACAAACGACAAGUUCAUCAGUUUGAAGCAUAGAGUAUUGGCGAACAGAGCCACAAGAGCUCGAGUCUCUGUCGCAUGUUUCUUCCAUACCCACGUAAAACCAAAUCCUAGAGUGUACGGACCCAUUAAAGAGCUUGUGUCCGAAGAAAAUCCUCCAAAGUACAGAGAGACCACCAUCAGAGAUUACGCUACUUACUUCAAUGGCAAAGGACUUGGCGGGACCUCUGCUUUGCUGGAUUUUAAAGUAUGAAUCAUGCCGAGCUACUACUUUCUCACAGAUAUACGACAUGACAUUAUAUGUAACAUGUUGGAGAUGUGUGAACCAAAUGUGGAAUUUAUGUAUUGAACAUUGUCAUCAAGGUUUGGUCCAAAUAAAGUGUAAUCGGAUAUGGUUAAUCAAUUGGAUUACGCACAAGCUGGUUUAUAUGCAUUUAAACUAAGUUGGAUGUAAUUAUGUUUGAUGAUCGUUGAUUUGAAUUAGAUGACUAUAUUUAAGGUUGGUUAAGAAAUGGUUUAGUGGGAGUUCGAUUUUUUUUCUUUCUUAUUAAUUUCUAACACUUGUCUGGUCCCGUCACUGUCACAAGCGGUUGUUUUUGUCUAUAAACCUUAUCGCUUUUCAAUGGUUUUGCUGUAGCAACUGGUCCCAUCUUUGAACUUGCGAAAAAUGUUUCAUUCUUGCUCUGUUAUUCGAGAAGCUAAAACUAUGGAGACGAAGAAUAUUGCUCCUUCAUUCGAUCGUGCCAGUGAGCUUAAAGCUUUUGAUGAGACCAAAACGGGUGUGAAAGGACUCGUCGACUCCGGAAUCUCACAGAUUCCACGCAUCUUUCAUCAUUCAUCUGUCAAACUUGCAAACCCUGAACCAGUUUCCUCGGACUUGCUACAUCUCAAGACGAUCCCAACGAUCGAUCUUGGAGGACGAGUUUUCGAGGACGAGCUUAAGCACAAGAACGCGAUUGAAAAGAUUAAAGAAGCAGCAGAGAAGUGGGGUUUCUUCCAGGUGAUCAACCAUGGAGUUUCGCUCGAACUUCUUGAGAAGAUGAAAGAUGGAGUUCGUGGGUUUCACGAGCAAUCCCCUGAAGUGAGGAAAGAUUUCUACAGUCGCGAUUUAACUAGAAAGUUUCAGUAUUCAAGUAAUUUCGAUCUCUAUAGUUCUCCAGCUGCAAAUUGGAGAGACACAGUUGCUUGUACCAUGGAUCCAGAUCCAUCCACAAGAUAUUCCAGAGAUUUGUAGGUAUGAGUCCAUUCCUUAUACUUGACUUGAUGUGUAAUCUCUAUUCAUAUAUGGUGAAUUGUUUCAGGGAUGUCACCAUAGAAUAUUCAGAGCAAGUGAUGAAUUUGGGUGAAUUUCUCUUUACGCUUCUAUCAGAAGCUCUAGGGUUGAACCCUAAUCACCUCAAUGACAUGGAUUGUUCUAAGGGUUUGAUCAUGCUUUGCCAUUACUACCCACCAUGUCCAGAGCCUGACCUAACUUUAGGCACAAGUCAGCACGCCGACAAUACUUUUCUUACCGUUCUUCUUCCAGAUCAGAUCGAAGGGCUUCAGGUUCUUCGUGAAGGGUACUGGUUCAACGUUCCUCAUGUUCCAGGAGCUCUAAUCAUCAACAUCGGAGAUCUUCUACAGGCAAGUUUGCACAACCAAUACAUUUUUUUGCUCUGUUUUGCAGAAGUAUAAAUCUUCCUCUUGGUUCAAACAUUUUUUUGUUUGUUUGUAUUAAUGCAGCUUAUAACAAACGACAAGUUCGUCAGUUUGGAGCACAGAGUAUUGGCGAACAGAGCAACAAGAGCUCGAGUCUCUGUAGCAGGUUUCUUCACCACCGCCAUGAGACCAAACCCUACAAUGUACGGACCCAUUAGAGAGCUCGUGUCUAAAGAAAACCCUCCAAAGUACAGAGAGACCACUAUUCGAGACUACACUGCUUACUUCAGUGCCAAAGGACUUGACGGAACCUCUGCGUUGCUCCAUUUCAAAAUAUGAAACAUGGCGAGCUAGCUACUACUUUAUCACACACAUACUGUAUAUGUAACAUGUUGGAGAUGUGUGAACCACAUGCAUGUGGAAUUUAUGAUUAAUUAAGAAUCGUUAUUUCGGUUUAGUCCACAUAAGGUGUGGUCUGUAUCAUUUUGUCUAUAAAAGAUCCUGAGACUAUUUUUUUCCUUUUUUUGUUUUUCUUUAUCUUUCUGUAAUAACUUAACUUCUUGUUGACUUAGACUUGCCUGGUCCGGUUACCGUCAUACGUGGUUGUUUUUGUCAAUAAACCUUAUCUCUUAUCAAUGGACAAUGGUUUUGCUGUAGCAACUGGUCCAAUCUUUGAACUUAAGAAAAACGUUUCAUUCUUGUUUUAUGUGUGAUUGUUGUUCUGUUUUUGAUUUGAGAAACAAAAACGAUGGAGAUGAUGAAGAUUGAUCCUUUAUUCGAUCGUGCCAGUGAGCUUAAAGCUUUCGAUGAAACGAAAACGGGUGUGAAAGGACUCGUCGACUCCGGAGUUUCACAAGUUCCACGCAUCUUUCAUCAUCCAACUGUCAAAUUAUCAACCCCAAAACCACUUCCCUCGGACCUGCUACAUCUCAAGACGAUCCCAACGAUCGAUCUCGGAGGACGGGACUUCCAGGACGCGAUUAAGCGCAAUAACGCGAUUGAAGAGAUUAAAGAAGCAGCAGCGAAGUGGGGUUUCUUCCAGGUGAUCAACCAUGGAGUUUCGC
rnacentral:lncRNA from 1 species